CCUACGGGAGGCAGCAGUGGGGAAUAUUGCGCAAUGGGCGAAAGCCUGACGCAGCGACGCCGCGUGAGGGAUGAAGGUCUUCGGAUCGUAAACCUCUGUCAGCAGGGAAGAACGGUCACUGUGCUAAUCAGCAGUGAAUUGACGGUACCUGCAAAGGAAGCACCGGCUAACUCCGUGCCAGCAGCCGCGGUAAUACGGAGGGUGCGAGCGUUAAUCGGAAUUACUGGGCGUAAAGCGCUCGUAGGCGGUAUGUCAAGUCAAGGGUGAAAUCCCCGCGCUCAACGUGGGAACUGCCUUUGAAUCUGGCAAACUGGAGUGUGUGAGAGGAGAGUGGAAUUCCAGGUGUAGGAGUGAAAGCCGUAGAUAUCUGGAGGAACAGCAGUGGCGAAGGCGACUAUCUGGCACAUAACUGACGCUGAGGUGCGAAAGCGUGGGUAGCAAACAGGAUUAGAUACCCUGGUAGUC
rnacentral:rRNA from 1 species